rnacentral:rRNA from 1 species
GACGAACGCUGGCGGCGUGCCUAAUACAUGCAAGUCGAGCGAAGUUUUUCUGGUGCUUGCACUAGAAAAACUUAGCGGCGAACGGGUGAGUAACACGUAAAGAACCUGCCUCAUAGACUGGGACAACUAUUGGAAACGAUAGCUAAUACCGGAUAACAGUAUUUCUCGCAUGAGAGAUAUUUAAAAGUUGGUUAUGCUAACACUAUGAGAUGGCUUUGCGGUGCAUUAGCUAGUUGGUGGGGUAAAGGCCCACCAAGGCGACGAUGCAUAGCCGACCUGAGAGGGUGAUCGGCCACACUGGGACUGAGACACGGCCCAGACUCCUACGGGAGGCAGCAGUAGGGAAUCUUCCGCAAUGAGCGAAAGCCUGACGGAGCAACGCCGCGUGAGUGAAGAAGGAUUUCGGUUCGUAAAGCUCUGUUGUUAGGGAAGAAUGGAUAUGUAGUAACUAUACAUGUAAGAGACGGUACCUAACCAGAAAGCCACGGCUAACUACGUG